GGUUCGAUCAUGGCUCAGAUUGAACGCUGGCGGGAUGCUUUACACAUGCAAGUCGUGAACGGCAGCACGGACUUCGGUCUGGUGAAGAGUGGCGGAACGGGUGAGUACGUAUCGGAACGUGCCUAGUAAGCGGGGAUAACUACGCGAAAGCGUAGCUAAUACCGCAUACGCCCUUCGGGGAAAGCGGGGACCUUUCGGGCCUCGCACUAUUAGAGCGGCCGAUAUCGGAUUAGCUAGUUGGUGUGUGAUUUUGGCUCACCAAGGCGACGAUCCGUAGCUGGUUUGAGAGGACGACCAGCCACACUGGGACCGGAGAUACGGCCCAGACUCCUACGGGAGGCAGCAGGUGGGGAAUUCUGGAGAAUGGGGAAACUCCCGAUCCAGCCAUCCCAUGGUGAAGAAGGCUCUCGGGCUUCAGCAAUUUUCGGGUAGCAGGAGAAACGCACGGAUAAUACCCCGCAACUGACGGUACCUGCAGAAAUAAGCACCGGCUAACUACGUGCCAGCAGCCGUAAUACGUAGGGUGCGUUAAUCGGAAUUACUACAAAGCGUGCGCAGGCGGUUCGGUGCCAAAGAUGUGAAAUCCCAGAGCUUAACUUGGAACUGCAUUUUUAACUACCGAGCUAGAGUGUGUGUCAGAGGGAGGUGGAAUUCCGCGUGUAGCAGUGAAAUGCGUAGAUAUGCGGAGGAACACCGAUGGCGAAGACAGCCUCCUGGGAUAACACUGACGUCUGCACGAAAGCGUGGAGAGCAAAACAGGAUUAGAUACCCUAGUCCACGCUCCAAACGAUGUCAACUAGCUGUUGGGCCUUUCGGGCCUGGUAUGCAGCUUUAACGUGAAGUUGACCGCCCGGGGAGUACGGUCGCAAGAUUAAAACUCAAGGGAAUUGACGGGGACUCCGCACAAGCGGUGGAUGAUAAUAAUUCGAUGCAACGCGAAAAACCUUACCUACUCCUUGACAUGUCUGGAAUCCCGAAGAGAUUUGGGAGUGCUCGCAAGAGAACCGGAACACAGGUGCUGCAUGGCUGUCGUCAGCUCGUGUCGUGAGAUGUUGGGUUAAGUCCCGGCAACGAGCGCAACCCUUGUCAUUAUUGUUACGAAAGGGCACUCUAAUGAGACUGCCAGUGACAAACCGGAGGAAGGUGGGGAUGACGUCAAGUCCUCAUGGCCCUUAUGGGUAGGGCUUCACACGCCAUACAAUGGUCGGGACAGGUCGCCAACCCGGCGAGGGGAGCCAAUCCCAGAAACCCGAUCGUAGUCCGGAUCGCAGUCUGCAACUCGACUGCGCAGUCAGAACGCUAGUAAUCGCGGAUCAGCAUGUCAGUGGUGACCGAUGUUCCUGGCCUUGUACACACACCGCCUGUCACACCAUGGGAGUGGGUUUUACCAGAAGUAUGCAGCCUAACCGUAAGGAGGGCGAUUACCACGGUAGAUUCAUGACUGGGGUGAAGCUCGUAACAAGGUAG
rnacentral:rRNA from 1 species